CCAUACUGGAACCAGACCAAAUCAGACAUUCAACUGAUUCUCGGAAACAAUACUGAAUGGUCAGAAGAAUUAGCUAUACUACACAUUUCCUCACAACCGUUAUCCAAGUACAAAAAAUCAAUGCUGAGCCACCUGUUGAACGCGGCUAAGUCGCUCAUACUGGUGUACUGGAAAAAGACGAACGUGAUACGAACGCACCGAGGUCCGGAACACACAUAUGGACAACCACACAAUGGGGGAUAUACUUAAUGCAAUAUAAUUUAACUUUCUAUAACCCACACUAUCGUCUCCGAACUCCACUUGUACCAAAU